GACGAACGCUGGCGGCGUGCUUAACACAUGCAAGUCGAACGGAAAGGCUCCAGCUUGCUGGCGUACUCGAGUGGCGAACGGGUGAGUAACACGUGGGUAAUCUGCCCUGCACUCUGGGAUAAGCCUGGGAAACUGGGUCUAAUACUGGAUGUGACCUUUCUCCUUAUGGGGUUUGGUGGAAAGUUUUUCGGUGUAGGAUGAGCCCGCGGCCUAUCAGCUUGUUGGUGGGGUGAUGGCCUACCAAGGCGACGACGGGUAGCCGGCCUGAGAGGGUGAUCGGCCACAUUGGGACUGAGAUACGGCCCAGACUCCUACGGGAGGCAGCAGUGGGGAAUAUUGCACAAUGGGCGGAAGCCUGAUGCAGCGACGCCGCGUGAGGGAUGACGGCCUUCGGGUUGUAAACCUCUUUCAGCAGGGACGAAGCGUAAGUGACGGUACCUGCAGAAGAAGCACCGGCCAACUAUGUG
rnacentral:rRNA from 1 species